rnacentral:rRNA from 1 species
UACGUAGGGUGCGAGCGUUGUCCGGAAUUAUUGGGCGUAAAGCGCUUGUAGGCGGUCUGUCGCGUCUGCUGUGAAAAUCCGGGGCUCAACCCCGGACUUGCAGUGGGUACGGGCAGACUAGAGUGUGGUAGGGGAGACUGGAAUUCCUGGUGUAGCGGUGAAAUGCGCAGAUAUCAGGAGGAACACCGAUGGCGAAGGCAGGUCUCUGGGCCACUACUGACGCUGAGAGGCGAAAGCAUGGGGAGCGAACAGG